UCUCUCUCUCAAAAAUCUUUAUUCAGAUUUUUUAUUUAUGCUCCGUUGAAGAUUUAAAGAUUGAAGGGGUUUUCAAAAUUCACAAAUCUCUCAAUUCCUCAAGUUGAACAUCAUUUUAAAACUAAAGAAAUAAACACAACAAGAAGAGUGAAAAUCAUUCGAUUUUCACCAUCUGAAAAGCAAAAAAAGAAAAGAAAAAACACAUGCAGAUCUGAAAAUUUUCAAUGAUGAUAGAUUUCGACAGAGAGGGGGACGCGAAAUCUGAAAAAUUUUGUGGGUAAGCUUUUAAUGAAAAGAAUCUGAGAUUUGAAACCUCAAUGACGAAAAAGCUCACUGAUUUCGAACUUGAUUUGAAAAUCGAAAAUGGAGAACAAUUGAUUUUCUUGCAAGCACACGAUAGGGUCAUCAAUGGUGAGAUUUAACUCUUCACAGAUGGUUUGGGAUAAUUUAGUUUGACUAAUAUGGUCGGUUUUGGGCUUUCCAUUUAUGCUCUACAUUUUCAGUUUGGCGUUGUGAUGCUGCAUAGUUGCAGAGUGGUGUGGUGGUGCUGCACAAUUGCAUAGUGAGAGAAAAAGAAGAGGCAGGUGUCAUUCAUCUAUCUAAAAACGGGAGGAAACAGGGGAAAUAAAAACCGGAGGUGAGCCGCUCCC